UACGGAGGGUGCGAGCGUUAUCCGGAAUUACUGGGUUUAAAGGGUGCGUAGGCGGCGCAGUAAGUCAGGAGUGAAAGUUUGCGGCUCAACCGUAAAAUUGCUUUUGAUACUGCCAGGCUAGAAUCAGGAUGAGGUCAGCGGAAUGUGGCAUGUAGCGGUGAAAUGCAUAGAUAUGACAUAGAACACCGAUAGCGAAGGCAGCUUGCUACACGAUCAUUGACACUGAGGCACGAAAGCGUGGGGAGCAAACAGG
rnacentral:rRNA from 1 species